UCCUUGUCUAGACUAAAGCAAUUGGUUCAUAAGGCCAUCUGGACAUUGGCUAAGGAAGAUUGGCCCGUGUGGUUCUCCAGCUGCCCAGAAAGAGUUGGAAAAAACAGAAGGAAGACAUUAGGAGGACUCAAGGCUUGUUAUGUGGAAAUGGGAGAUGGAGCCAAGCAGAACAUUUUAGCAGCAAGCACUCCAAGGCAUUUCUGGACAACUGGAGUGAGAAGACGUUGCACAAUAAUGGUGCUUCUGCUACUGAGAAACCCUUACUCCACACCCAAAUGGACUUGACAUCCCAAAGAGAUGGAACACAGAGCCGGAUUUCAGCCACAUCUAUUUAAGGCCAGCUUUUGGAUGGGGCUUUAGUUACUUGUAUUCCAGUCCCAGAGCAGAGGCAGGGCUAACAAACAGCCAGCAGCAAGAGCACGGAAAAACAGUCUUCACUUGCCUCUCUGUACAUAAUAUCUAUUUAAUUAAACUAUUAGU